GCCCGGCUAGCUCAAUCGGUAGAGCGUGAGACUCUUAUCCAGUGUAUUCUCACAAGAUUCAUCUCAAGGUCGUGGGUUCGACCCCCACGUCGGGCU